rnacentral:rRNA from 1 species
GUGAUACCCGGCAGGGGUUGCAGGUCAGGGGGUUGUGGGACGUGUCUGUGGGGUCUGCCGGCCUUGCGACGUGUACGCGCAGUGGUAGUCGAAGCCGUGGUGAGUGCGGUGGCGUAGAGGGUGUGACCCCCGUAGACGAAACCAGUGCGUGGCGUGACGCUGUUCCCGAGUAGCACCGGGCCCGUGAAAUCCGGUGUGAAUCUGCCAGGACCACCUGGUAAGCCUGAAUACUACCUUGUGACCGAUAGCGGACAAGUACCGUGAGGGAAAGGUGAAAAGCACCCCGGGAGGGGAGUGAAAUAGUACCUGAAACCGUGCGCUUACAAUCCGUCGGAGCCUUGAGGGGUGACGGCGUGCCUUUUGAAGAAUGAGCCUGCGAGUUAGUGGUCGGUGGCGAGGUUAACCCGUGUGGGGUAGCCGUAGCGAAAGCGAGUCUGAACGGGGCGUUCAGUCGCCGGCUCUAGACCCGAAGCGAAGUGAUCUAUCCAUGGGCAGUGUGAAGCGCGGGUAAGACCGCGUGGAGGCGCGAACCCACUUCAGUUGAAAAUGGAGGGGAUGACCUGUGGAUAGGGGUGAAAGGCCAAUCAAACUUCGUGAUAGCUGGUUCUCCCCGAAAUGCAUUUAGGUGCAGCGUUGCGUGUUUCGUGCCGGAGGUAGAGCACUGGAUAGGCGAUGGGCCCCACCGGGUUACUGACCUUAGCCAAACUCCGAAUGCCGGUACGUGAGAGCGCAGCAGUGAGACUGUGGGGGAUAAGCUUCAUGGUCGAGAGGGAAACAGCCCAGAACAUCAGCUAAGGCCCCUAAGCGUGUGCUAAGUGGAAAAGGAUGUGGAGUUGCUGAGACAACCAGGAGGUUGGCUUAGAAGCAGCCACCCUUGAAAGAGUGCGUAAUAGCUCACUGGUCAAGUGAUUCUGCGCCGACAAUGUAGCGGGGCUCAAGCACACCGCCGAAGCUGUGUCACUCAGGAUUUGUCCUGGGGUGGGUAGGGGAGCGUCGUACAGCCGGUGAAGCCGCGGGGGAACCCAGUGGUGGAGGCUGUACGAGUGAGAAUGCAGGCAUGAGUAGCGAAAGACGGGUGAGAAACCCGUCCGCCGAUUGAUCAAGGGUUCCAGGGCCAGGUUUAUCCGCCCUGGGUUAGUCGGGACCUAAGGCGAGGCCGACAGGCGUAGUCGAUGGACAUCGGGUUGAUAUUCCCGAACCGAUCGUAGGAGGACCCAUACCGAGGCGGCUGAUGCUAACCACCCGAGCUGUCACCGCACCCUUCGGGGUGUGGAUGGUGGUGAGGCUGGGAACCAAGGUCGUAGUAGGUCAGCGCGUGGGAUGACGCAGAGAGGUAGCUUCCGCGGACUUAAUGGAAUAGUCCGUCUAAGCGUGCAGCCCGGCCCCGGGUAAUGCUGGGGCCAUGAGGGUGAGACGUGAUGGGGAUCCCGUAUGGGCGUAGGUGAGUGAUCCUGUACUGCCUAGAAAAGUUCCGGCGUGACGAAUACGGUCGCCCGUACCCUAAACCGACUCAGGUGAUCAGGUAGAGAAUACCGAGGCGUUCGAGAGAAUCGUGGUUAAGGAACUCGGCAAAAUGCCCCCGUAACUUCGGAGAA